GCACGCCGUAUGAGGCGAAAGUCUCACGUACGGUGUAGAGCAGGGGAAAAGGUGGAGAUAAUAUCAAAUCCUUACCUAUUGCUAU
rfam:Eubacterium ventriosum ATCC 27560 Scfld0223 genomic scaffold, whole genome shotgun sequence.